rnacentral:rRNA from 1 species
GACGAACGCUGGAGGCGUGCUUAACACAUGCAAGUCGAACGAUGAAAUGGAGCUUGCUCCAUGGAUUAGUGGCGAACGGGUGAGUAACACGUGAAUAACCUGACCUUAAUUUUGGAAUAACCCAGGGAAACCUGGGCUAAUACCGGAUAAGUAAACCUGAGCAUCACAUGGUUUUGGAAAGUUUUUCGAUUAAGGAUGGAUUCGCGGCCUAUCAGCUUGUUGGUGAGGUAAUGGCUCACCAAGGCGACGACGGGUAGCCGGCCUGAGAGGGUGAACGGCCACACUGGGACUGAGACACGGCCCAGACUCCUACGGGAGGCAGCAGUGGGGAAUAUUGCGCAAUGGACGAAAGUCUGACGCAGCGACGCCUCGUGAGGGACGAAGGUCUUCGGAUUGUAAACCUCUUUCAGCAGGGACGAAGCGAAAGUGACGGUACCUGCAGAAGAAGCACCGGCUAACUAUGUGCCAGCCGCCGCUGUAA